rnacentral:rRNA from 1 species
UACAGAGGGUGCGAGCGCUAAUCGGAAUUACUGGGCGUAAAGCGCACGUAGGUGGCGACGUAAGUCGGGUGUGAAAGUCCCGGGCUCAGCCUGGGAAUUGCAUUCGAGACUGCAUUGCUGGAGUACGGAAGAGGAGGGCGGAAUUCCAGGUGUAGCGGUGAAAGGGGUAGAUAUCGGGAGGAACAUCAGUGGCGAAGGCGGCCCUCUGGUCCAGUACUGACACUCAAGUGAGAAAGCGUGGGGAGCAAACAGG